CUAGCAGACACACACACAGACAAGCUCACUCACUAGCAGGCACACACACACAGACAAGCUCACUCACUAGCAAGCACACACAAGCUCACUCACUAGCAGGCACACACACACACACACAGACAAGCUUACUCACUAGCAGACACACACACACACAAACACAGACAAGCUCACUCGCUAGCAGGCACACACACACACAGACAAGCUCACUCACUAGCAGGCACACGCAUAGACAAGCUCACUCACUAGAAGGCACACACACAGACAAGCUCACUCACUAGCAGGCACACACACACACACAGACAAGCUCACUCACUAGCAGGCACACACACACACACACAGACAAGCUCACAUACUAGCAGGCACACACACACACACACACAGACAAGUUCACUCACUAGCAGACACAGACACACACACAAUCACUGUCAUGGCUGAAGCUUACCUGGUAGGUGAAGUUUCCCUUUUGUAGCCUCUUCCUUCCGGUGAGAAACAUGUAGGGGCGGGGCUUGCGAGAUGGAGGCGGAGAUAUGUUCAGGAGGUGGGGCUUGUGUGCGGAGGCGGGGCAUGCGGCCGAAAUUAAG